rnacentral:rRNA from 1 species
GAUGAACGCUGGCGGCGUGCCUAAUACAUGCAAGUCGAACGGGGAAUGUAGCAAUACAUUCUUAGUGGCGAACGGGUGAGUAACACGUGGGCGACCUGCCCCGAAGAGUGGGAUACCAAUCCGAAAGGAUUGUUAAUACCGCAUACUGUCUCUGGGAUUAGAUGCCUGGCGACUAAAGGAGUAAUCCGCUUUGGGAGGGGCCUGCGUCCCAUCAGCUAGUUGGUAAGGUAACGGCUUACCAAGGCGAUGACGGGUAGGGGACCUGAGAGGGUGACCCCCCACAAUGGAACUGAAACACGGUCCAUACACCUACGGGUGGCAG